rnacentral:rRNA from 1 species
AGGACGAACGCUGGCGGCGUGCUUAACACAUGCAAGUCGAGCGGAAAGGCCCUUCGGGGUACUCGAGCGGCGAACGGGUGAGUAACACGUGAGUAACCUGCCCCUAGCUCUGGGAUAGCUCCGGGAAACCGGGAUUAAUACCAGAUACGACCACUUUAGACAUCUGUCGUGGUGGAAAGGAUUCCGGCUAGGGAUGGGCUCGCGGCCUAUCAGCUUGUUGGUGGGUAACGGCCUACCAAGGCGACGACGGGUAG